CCUACGGGAGGCAGCAGUGAGGAAUAUUGGUCAAUGGGCGCAAGCCUGAUCCAGCCAUGCCGCGUGCAGGAUGACGGUCCUAUGGAUUGUAAACUGCUUUUAUACGGGAAGAAACACUGAUUCGUGAAUCAGCUUGACGGUACCGUAAGAAUAAGGAUCGGCUAACUCCGUGCCAGCAGCCGCGGUAAU
rnacentral:rRNA from 1 species